GCGUUAUUUUUUUUACACAGAAGCUUUGUAAAAAGAAAAGCACACCAGAUGCAGUUGGCAGGUGAGGGUAGUGGCAGACCUAGGGAGCAUCCCGGGUUGUCCUGAUACAGAUCCAUUAAAAUUGCAUCAGUUACACUAAGGAGGAAUGGUGGACGGGUGGUUGUUGAAAGUCGACCAUCUUUGCUGUAAGUGUGUGUGUUUGUUUUUAUGAGAAAGAACCUUUAACCGUACAUUAUCAAAAUCAAAACUUUAUAAUUACUUAAACCUGCUAAUCUGCCUGUAAUAUACUCCCUCUCCCUCCGUUGUAAUUCCUGUAUUUUCUCGUGGUUCUCAAUUAGUUCAUUUGUUCAUCCUAGUAACAAAACAAAACAAAAAAUUGAAUAAGCACUUGAAAAAAUCGAAUGGUGUUUUUUACUUGAAAAAUAGAAAAUAGAAAAAGAAAGCAUAAGGAAUUACCUUCGACUUUCUUCCCUUCGACAUUUUAUCGAUACUUUUCUUCAUUUUUAUAACUUGAAUAUCCCAAACGUCUCUAAGCACUGGAAGAAUCUCUCUCCACUUAUCAAAAUCCUUACCUUCCUCAUUUCAUCAUGUCUAUAAUAUAAUUGAUACUUGAAAUAAUUACUUUUUGUUUAUUCAACAUCCUAUUCAGAAUCGAUAAAUAAGAAUUUUGGGGAUAAAAAUAUCGUUGUGGUGGGGAAAACAUCGUUGUGGUGGUGUUCGAGGCUGAGGUGGUCUGCAGCGGGCGGCGGUAA